rnacentral:tRNA from 1 species
GUCCCUGUAGCGCAAUGGAUAGUGCAGUGGUCUUCUAAUCCAAAGGUCGUGGGUUUGAAUCCCACCUGGGAUG